GAGAGCGCUGGCCAGGCGGGAAGCCAUCGCCACUCUCCUCACCGAAUGUCUCAGACAGCACUGCUGUGACCUCGAGGAAGGGAGAGCUGGGCAGGAACUGAGCAAGCAAGCUGGCUGCUUAGCACAAGCGCUUCUAACUGAAAGGUCUACAGCAAACCAUCAUGAAGCUCACCGAGAUGUGCUAACCCAGGCCUGGUGGUGCCCAAGUUCAGGUACUGGAACUCAGAACUCAGGAACUGUUGAAGGGUUGGCAAACGAGGCAUGUGAUCAUCACAUUUUUGGUAAAAAUGUAAUGGGCCAUGCCAAAGGUGAGGGAAAUGAGGUCCCACUACACCGUGACCCACAGUUGUCCUGCCUGAGAUCGGGGGUUGGCAAAGAUUGAGAAAGGGAUAGACACACUCAAGCCAUGCUGUGAUGUAGGUCACGCCUGUUAUCCCAUUCCUCAAUUCCCAGCAAAGCAAUGGCCAUGAAGCUGGUUCUAGCACAAAGCAGGCUACAGCACAAGGGCAGGGUAGGAGUUUCCUGUAGAGAACAGAAUGACUCAAGGAAAUCUACGGCUUCUCAGUUGUGUCUUAGUACAGACGCCAUGUUUUCUCAGUUUGUGUCUUUGAGAGUAUAGACGCCAUGUUUUCUCAGUUUGUGUCUUACAGAGAGUACAGACAUUGCUUUUGGAACUCUUCCCACAUUGGCUUGGUUUUCAAAUGCGUCACUUUAUUUUCACCCACGAGGCAGGCAGCCACACGUCUGAGCACGUGCCAUCACAUGAUUUCUUCAGGAAGCGCCGAGGCAGACCCAGCUCUCCUGGAGCUCACAGUCCUGAGGUUUCACACGUGAAAGCUCUCACCGCAGCCACAGGUUCCCUUGAUGUUGGGGUUAUUGAACACAAACUCACUGGACAGUUUGUCUUCCACAUAGUCCAUCUCUGUUCCUAACAGGGUUAGCUGUGCUUUCUUCUCGAUGAACACUCGGACUCCAUCUUGAAUAACUUCUUCAUCAGAAUCUCCUUUUGUCUUUGUGUACUCCAGGCUGUAAGAGAGGCCAUUACAGCCCCUGGUUCGCACGCCAACUUUCAGACCCACAUGCUCAGGUUUGUCUUUAAGAAGUUGUUUUAUCUUGUUUACAGCAGAGGGGGUCAGUGUGAGGGCCGCCCGCGUGGGCUGCAGUUUUCUCUUGCUCACGGCCCACACGGUGGCGCGGACCAACGACGCCGACAUGUCCACGUCGCGGCACCCGCAGCCUCCGGCUGGAGCGUGGGGACUCAGCUUCUCUCCAUGGACACGGCGGGCACUUUGACGCCCAAAUUCUACUUUCAGGAAGUAUAUGUUGCCUUGUUUUAUGUUCUUGCUUAGUUGGACGUUGAAGUAACUGAUUAUCCCGAGCUUUUGUCCCCGCCGGCAAGAACACACUCGGGACAACCGGAAUCUUCUGCGGCAAAAGCUUUAUUGCUUCUUCAGGAGGGAAGACCCCGACCCCAGAAAAUGGAGUUGCUUAUAUAUAGCCCUCAGCCAUGGCGUUUCAGCACCUGAUAUGGCAUGUCAGCUCCUGAUUUGUUGCUUGCCCAUCACCCCACUGAGAUGGGCAGUGACUAGGCGUGAGUUCACUCUCGCACCUGCGUACAAGGCUUGUUUACUAGUUAGGCACAGCGGAGGCCAGCGCCAUCUUAUAAUGGUGAUUGCUCGCGGCUCGCGAUUGCUCGAGGCACGGCUCUCCACAACUGAUGACCAAGAUGAUGAAGACAAAUAUAUUCUCUACCCUGCAGCUGGCAAGAGAAUGGUCUCUGUCAAAUUUAUGUGGGAUUCUUUAGUUAACAGCAGAAGUUCCCAGUCAGACAAGCCUUACCUCAUAUGCAACAUCAUUUUUCUCUGCCUUCACCAAAGCCAAGCCAGCUUGGUAGUUCACCACGUCUUUUCAUAUCAAAUGCACACUGAUCCACCAUAGAUCAAUGCUAAAUAGAGAACGUAAGGGGUACAGAUAUUAAGGGUAGGAGAGACACAAAAGCAAAGGAAUCAAAGAGCCAAGUUGAUGGAAACCCAGAAAGCAGCAAUUAGAAGAUGUUCUUAUGAAAAGCAGAGACAGUUCUUCCCUUAAUGCAAACUGCAGCUUUAGAGGAGCAGGUCCAUGAAGGUUCUCUGUUGUUCCUGGUCCUAAGGCAUAUUCAGGAAUGAGUCAAGACAAGUUGGCAAGACUGCCUUGCCUGCCCGGUCCUGUGUGCCAAGCACUGGUU
rnacentral:lncRNA from 1 species